UGUCCUUUUAGUAUAACAAGUACGAUUGACUUCCAAUCAAUUAGCUCCGAUAACAAACCCGGAAAAGAACAA
rnacentral:tRNA from 1 species